rnacentral:lncRNA from 1 species
AUGACAAUUUUAGAAGACCUCAACGUUUCAAAGAACUUAAAAUAUAAGAUCAAGCCAGAGGAAAUAGUAGCUACCGGGGAAGUUCCUCUUAUGGUGGUGGCAGGAGUGCAAGGAAAAGAAAAUUUGUACACAUAUGUACAAAGGGAAAAGGCUGUGAAGCUCCUGGUAGAAGAAGGCCAUCUACAAACCAAGGAGAAGGCCUGUAACAGACUCUUCCCUCACAGCCCUUAGAAGGAACCAGAUCUAUCAACACUUUGAUCUCAGAUGUCUAGCCUCCAGAAGAGAUCAGAUACCCGCAAAAUAGAAUUACUACCUGGGAUUCCAAAACUUUGGCUUAGAAAAAAAGAACAACUCUUCAACAAAUUACAGCAUAAAGUUUAUAUUAUAAUCCAGAGCUUUCCAAAACCUUAGCAAUAGCACAAUUAUUUUCCAAAAAUGAGUCAUAAAUGUGUCAGGAAAUAUUAUUGGCUGUUAAAGUUUCAGAGUGAUAAAUGAAUAAUUAUACACAUUUACUUUUCAACCCAUUCAAAAAUUUCCAGCAUUAAAAUAAUAAUUUUAAAAGUCUAU